rnacentral:lncRNA from 1 species
GAUCGACCAGAUCCGGUGUUGACGUGGGCGAGAGGGUCUGUUUGUGUGUUUCCACAGGACCAGACGGAACCUCUUUGGGUGCCGGAGAGAUUGGUGAGACACUGCAAGAAUGAGGCUCCUGAUCCAGUUGCCCCUGUGGAUGUGGUGGAUGAUCCCACAAGCACAAAGGAUGGAGCCGAGAUGGGAGAUCCUUUUGGUAUUCCAGAAGCCGAUACCAGCUCGACAUGA